UUGAACUGUGCAUGACAGGUGUAGAGAUACACCCUCCGCAAGGCAUGUACAGAGGUGCUGCAUGGUUGUCGUCAGCUCGUGUCGUGAGAUGUUGGGUUAAGUCCCGCAACGAGCGCAACCCCUACCCUUUGUUGCUACCAGAUAAUGCUGGGCACUCUAAGGGAACUGCCGGUGAUAAACCGGAGGAAGGUGGGGAUGACGUCAAAUCAUCACGGCCCUUAUGUCCAGGGCUACACACGUGCUACAAUGGCCGGUACAAAGCGUUGCAAACCUGCGAAGGGGAGCCAAUCGCAAAAAACCGGUCUCAGUUCAGAUUGCAGUCUGCAACUCGACUGCAUGAAGCUGGAAUCGCUAGUAAUCGUGGAUCAGAACGCCACGGUGAAUACGUUCCCGGGCCUU
rnacentral:rRNA from 1 species